rnacentral:rRNA from 1 species
GAUGAACGCUGGCGGCGUGCCUAACACAUGCAAGUCGAGCGAAGCACUUUGCUUAGAUUCUUCGGAUGAAGAGGAUUGUGACUGAGCGGCGGACGGGUGAGUAACGCGUGGGUAACCUGCCUCAUACAGGGGGAUAACAGUUAGACAUGACUGCUAAUACCGCAUAAGACCACAGCACCGCAUGGUGCGGGGGUAAAAACUCCGGUGGUAUGAGAUGGACCCGUGUCUGAUUAGCUAGUUGGUAAGGUAACGGCUUACCAAGGCGACGAUCAGUAGCCGACCUGAGAGGGUGACCGGCCACAUUGGGACUGAGACACGGCCCAAACUCCUACGGGAGGCAGCAGUGGGGAAUAUUGCACAAUGGGGGAAACCCUGAUGCAGCGACGCCGCGUGAGCGAAGAAGUAUUUCGGUAUGUAAAGCUCUAUCAGCAGGGAAGAAAAUGACGGUACCUGACUAAGAAGCACCGGCUAAAUACGUGCCAGCAGCCGCGGUAAUACGUAUGGUGCAAGCGUUAUCCGGAUUUGCUGGGUGUAAAGGGAGCGUAGACGGAUGGGCAAGUCUGAUGUGAAAACCCGGGGCUCAACCCCGGGACUGCAUUGGAAACUGUUCAUCUAGAGUGCUGGAGAGGUAAGUGGAAUUCCUAGUGUAGCGGUGAAAUGCGUAGAUAUUAGGAGGAACACCAGUGGCGAAGGCGGCUUACUGGACAGUAACUGACGUUGAGGCUCGAAAGCGUGGGGAGCAAACAGG